UUGGGUACUCUAUUGAGACUGCCGCUGACAAGGCGGAGGAAGGUGGGGACGACGUCAAGUCAUCAUGGCCCUUACGACCAGGGCUACACACGUGCUACAAUGGGUAUUACAGAGGGCUGCGAAGGUGCGAGCUGGAGCGAAACUCAAAAAGGUACUCUUAGUCCGGAUUGCAGUCUGCAACUCGACUGCAUGAAGUCGGAAUCGCUAGUAAUCGCAGGUCAGAAUACUGC
rnacentral:rRNA from 1 species